CACAUAUCAGAUAUUAAACUGAUAAGAACAGAUACUACACUUGAUCUUAGCCAAAAGGCCGAGAAAGGUAUGAGUUGAAACAAAGCCUUGCCCCUCAUCUUAUACCCGCCCGAACAGCUAUGCUAAUCUGCACAAGCGAUGUGGGACUAA
rnacentral:rRNA from 1 species